GGUUAAGCGACUAAGCGUACACGGUGGAUGCCCUGGCAGUCAGAGGCGAUGAAGGACGUGCUAAUCUGCGAUAAGCGCCGGUAAGGUGAUAUGAACCGUUAUAACCGGCGAUUUCCGAAUGGGGAAACCCAGUGUGACUCGUCACACUAUCAUUAACUGAAUCCAUAGGUUAAUGAGGCGAACCGGGGGAACUGAAACAUCUAAGUACCCCGAGGAAAAGAAAUCAACCGAGAUUCCCCCAGUAGCGGCGAGCGAACGGGGAGGAGCCCAGAGCCUGAAUCAGCAUGUGUGUUAGUGGAAGCGUCUGGAAAGGCGCGCGAUACAGGGUGACAGCCCCGUACACAAAAGCGCAUGUGCUGUGAGCUCGAUGAGUAGGGCGGGACACGUGGUAUCCUGUCUGAAUAUGGGGGGACCAUCCUCCAAGGCUAAAUACUCCUGACUGACCGAUAGUGAACC
rnacentral:rRNA from 1 species